ACCAGUUUUUUAGAAUAUGCUCUCUA
rnacentral:piRNA from 1 species